GACGAGCUCUCCAAACGUUAUUCGGUAUCACUGGGCUUAAAGAGUUCGUAGGCGGUCUGGUAGGUGAGGUGUGAAAUCCCCCGGCUCAACCGGGGGAACUGCGCUUCAAACCGCCGGACUUGAGGGAGACAGAGGUGGGCGGAACAGAUGGUGGAGCGGUGAAAUGCGUUGAUAUCAUCUGGAACACCGGUGGCGAAAGCGGCCCACUGGGUCUCAUCUGACGCUGAGGAACGAAAGCUAGGGUAGCGAACGGG
rnacentral:rRNA from 1 species